rnacentral:rRNA from 1 species
UACAGAGGGGGCGAGCGUUGUUCGGAAUUACUGGGCGUAAAGGGCGCGUAGGCGGCCUGCUAAGUCAUACGUGAAAUCCCUCGGCUCAACCGAGGAACUGCGUCUGAUACUGGUUGGCUUGAAUUCGGGAGAGGGAUGCGGAAUUCCAGGUGUAGCGGUGAAAUGCGUAGAUAUUGGGAGGAACACCAGUGGCGAAGGCGGCUACCUGGACCGGUUCUGACGCUGAUGCGCGAAAGCGUGGGUAGCAAACAGG